rfam:Oryza glumipatula chromosome 9, whole genome shotgun sequence.
AAUGGUUGGCGCCGUUGACUUUUUAGCACAUGUUUGACCGUUCGUCUUAUUUAAAAAAUUUAAGUAAUUAUUAAUUCUUUUUCUAUCAUAUGAUUCAUUGUUAAAUAUAUUUUUAUGUAGGCAUAUACUUUUACAUAUUUUACAAAAGUUUUUGAAUAAGACGAACGGUCAAACAUGUGCUAAAAAGUCAACGGUGUCAAACAUU